UACUUCUCCUUCGAAACACACACUCAAGCCGUAGGGUUCCCCAAACGACCAAACCUAAAACCCAGCUUCGUCAACGGAACCGCCGCCGCCGUCCGUGGUUGUCGGCGCCUCCGGGGCCUCCUCCUUCCCCUGUCCCAAAUCCAUAUGGCCAGACCUUCUCUUCUAGGCUUUCUAGCUCGGCACGUCGUCCUGUCUUCGUCGGUGACUUCGCUGUUCGAGGCUUCCAGCUGCUACGCCGUCGUAUCUCCGUCGUCGUCCUGCUGUCAGUGGAAGAUGGAAGUAUUAAUCAAGAAGCAGUGGCUGAUAACAAUGCAUCUUUGAGUUUAGAGCAAAGAAGCUCCUCGAGCAGGCAACAUUGUUGAACAGGUCAAUAAUACACCAAACAGAUUGUGGUUCAAAUUAGAGUGGUCUUGGCAUUUGUUGGGGAGAAUAGAGCACUGCAAGGUUACUCAUCUGCACUGUGGAUUGUUCAGCAGCGGCUCCGAAAAGAGCACCGUUGUGUCCCUCAUAGAGAGAUUCUAUGACCGUUUAUCAGGACAAAUUUUGCUAGAUGGGAAUGAUGUUAAGAGUUUGAAGCCAAAAUGGUUGAGGCAGCAAAUAGGACUAGUGAGCCAAGACUGGCUUUGUUUGCGACAACAUUCAGAAGCUGACCAAGUUGAGAUUGAAGAAGCUGCAAGAGUAGCCAAGUUUAUAAUUUAUUUAUUUUAUUCUAAAACGAUUUUUUUGGUUGAACCACGGUUAGAUCGGUUGGAUCAAUAAACUAGUGAACCAGUAAUUAAAAUGGUUUGAUGAUCCGAUCCGGUUCUCAGAACCUUGGAUAUAAUCACCAAUAUUUAUUUUUAAAAUUGUCUGAUUAAAA